rnacentral:Y_RNA from 1 species
GGCUGGUCUGAAGGUAGUGAGUUAUCUCACUUGAUUGUUCACAGGCAGUUACAGAUUGAACUCUUGUUCUACUACUUUCCCCUCUUCUCACUACUGCACUUGACUAGUCUUAA